rnacentral:rRNA from 1 species
UACGAAGGGGGGCUAGCGUUGCUCGGAAUCACUGGGCGUAAAGCGCACGUAGGCGGCUUUCUAAGUCAGGGGUGAAAUCCUGGAGCUCAACUCCAGAACUGCCUUUGAUACUGGCGAUCUUGAGUCCGGAAGAGGUGAGUGGAACUCCUAGUGUAGAGGUGGAAUUCGUAGAUAUUAGGAAGAACACCAGUGGCGAAGGCGGCUCACUGGUCCGGUACUGACGCUGAGGUGCGAAAGCGUGGGGAGCAAACAGG